UCCUCAGUGGCUCAGAGGGUAAAGCGCCUGCCUCCAAUGCAGGAGACCUGAGUUCGAUCCCUGGGUUGGGAA
rfam:Ovis aries breed Texel chromosome 12, whole genome shotgun sequence.